rnacentral:rRNA from 1 species
UACGGAGGGGGCUAGCGUUGUUCGGAAUUACUGGGCGUAAAGCGCACGUAGGCGGCCAGUUGCGUCCGCUGUGAAAUCCCGGGGCUUAACCCCGGGCGUGCAGUGGAUACGGGCUGGCUGGAGGCAGGCAGGGGAGAACGGAAUUCCUGGUGUAGCGGUGAAAUGCGCAGAUAUCAGGAGGAACACCGGUGGCGAAGGCGGUUCUCUGGGCCUGUACUGACGCUGAGGAGCGAAAGCGUGGGGAGCGAACAGG